rnacentral:tRNA from 1 species
GGAGAGGUGUCCGAGUCUGGCUUAAGGGGCUCGCCUGGAAAGCGAGUGUAGGUUAACCGCCUACCGAGGGUUCGAAUCCCUCCCUCUCCGCCA